GCGCGACCGUGUCUGGAUGCCGCAGGGAAGCCGUGAAGCGUAGCCACCUGGGAAGUACGGCCGCAAGGCUGAAACUUAAAGGAAUUGGCGGGGGAGCACAACAACGGGUGGAGCCUGCGGUUUAAUUGGACUCAACGCCGGACAACUCACCGGGGGCGACAGCAAUAUGUAGGCCAAGCUGAAGACUUUGCCUGAAUCGCUGAGAGGAGGUGCAUGGCA
rnacentral:rRNA from 1 species